CGUUCCCGGGUCUUGUACACACCGCCCGUCACACCAUGGGAGCGGGUUUUACCAGAAGUAGGUAGCUUAACCGCGAAGGAGGGCGCUUACCACGGUAGGAUUCGUGACUGGGGUG
rnacentral:rRNA from 1 species